UACAGAGGUCUCAAGCGUUGUUCGGAUUCAUUGGGCGUAAAGGGUGCGUAGGUGGCGCCGUAAGUCAGGUGUGAAAUUUCGGAGCUUAACUCCGAAACUGCAUUUGAUACUGCGGUGCUUGAGGACUGGAGAGGAGACUGGAAUUCCUGGUGUAGCGGUGAAAUGCGCAGAUAUCAGGAGGAACACCGGUGGCGAAGGCGGGUCUCUGGGCAACAACUGACGCUGGAGGAGCGAAAGCGUGGGGAGCAAACAGG
rnacentral:rRNA from 1 species